rnacentral:rRNA from 1 species
UACGUAGGGAGCAAGCGUUGUUCGGAUUUACUGGGCGUAAAGGGUGCGUAGGCGGGUCUUUAAGUCAGGGGUGAAAUCCUGGAGCUCAACUCCAGAACUGCCUUUGAUACUGAAGAUCUUGAGUUCGGGAGAGGUGAGUGGAACUGCGAGUGUAGAGGUGAAAUUCGUAGAUAUUCGCAAGAACACCAGUGGCGAAGGCGGCUCACUGGCCCGAUACUGACGCUGAGGCACGAAAGCGUGGGGAGCAAACAGG